GAAUCAAUAAGUGAAAUAACUGAAUCUCUAUAUAAUAACCCAAGGAUUGGUAGUACAAGUCACGAGCCACUAAGACUUAAUCAGAUUUACAAGCUGGUACGAAGUAAUACAACAUCUGUUUGGAUUAUACAUAAAUAGAAUUCAAAUCUAAAGCUACCAAGGACAAGUGGUAGACAUAACCAGAAUGCAGGUACAUCUUCAACGUCGGCUUCCCCCGUACGCAACAGCAUCAACUCCAGGAUAUGCAUGCAAGGUGCAAAAGUGCAGUAUUAGUACAACCGACCACAUGUACUCAAUAAGUAUCAUAACUUACCUCAACGAGGUAAUAGAAGCAAGAAUUAUAAAUGAUACUUACAAUCACUUGUACAAGUUCAUAAAAUUCCAAAAAGUAUAGAACAUAUAUAUGAUCAAAUCAGGAAAACACAAAUAAAACCACCUUGGUGCUCAUAAUUCGUUUUAAUGUGUUUUGCUCGGUCGACAAUCCAUCAUAUAAGGAAGAUAUGCAAGUAAAUUAGGUAAAAAGUCAAGAAAAUUACAAAUAAUGAUGAUAUGCAAUAACCAAAUAUCAAUCUGUGUGCGCAACCCUAUCCCAAUAGAAAUCACAUCAUCGCUCUUCUGCCCAGAUCAUGAACCAAACCAAUAACCAGCUCUCCCAGAAGUCACAUCAACUUCGGUUUCUCAUAAUCUACGUGUGUGCCAUCAAGAGAGAAACAUGAGAGGGUGAUCCUAGGGGGAUGGAUCCAUAUCCGCACGCAUGCACGACCAAUUCAACGUGCAAUCAGCCCACAUGGUUAGAGGCUCAAUAUCAUAAUCUGCCUGGCAUGGUCACAAGCUAUAUCAUAAUCUGUCCGGCGUGGUCACGGGGAUAGCAACACAAUUCCCCUGGCACAGUGACAGGCAUAACAACACAUACAAUCCGGCGUAGUUAUAUGCAUAACAACACAAUCCUCCCACGCAUGGUCACAAGCAUAAUAACACAAUCCGUCCGGCGUGGUCACAAGCAUCUAGUCCAAAUCAUAUUAUACAAAAGCAGAUAUACGAUUAUACAUGUAUAUGGUGAAUGAAUAUCAAAUUUCAUGCUCCUGGAGUAGUAUAAAUGCAUGCUAAAGUGUAGGAAUGUGCAAAGUGUGCUAUCAUAGCUCAAAUCGAUAAUUUCAUCACAUAAUAACAAUUAUCAUGUUUAUUCAGGGAAUUAACCUCUAUGUAACCUCAAACAUGGGUCAAAUAGUUCACAACAAGGUUACAAAUAUGAGAAACAUCAUAGCUUAAAGAUUAACAGUCAAUUCUAGGCAAAUCAUAGCCUAAGCACUACCUCGAAUACUGAUAAAUACCCCGGUGCUCGCACAUGGGCUCAACCCCACAUAUAUGCACACCUAUAGCACGUAACUAUCAUAAAUAAUUGAGGCAACUAGCGCCUUAACUAAGUUUAGAUAAGAUACUUACCUCAAACAAGCCAAAUCAAAUGCCAAGAAAGCCAAACAAUACUCUACAAUCUUCAUCCCAUGCAAAUCAACCUCUGAACGGUUCAAAACUAGCUAAAAGCAAUAGAAUCAUCAAAUAAUGCCAUGGAAAACAAACCCAAACGAAAAAGGUCGAAUCUUUAAUCAAAAGUCUAAAGUCAACCAAAAGGUCAACCCCGGGCCCGCACCUUGAAACCAAAAAAAAUCACAAAUUUUAGUAUCCCAUUCAAUUACGAGUCCAACUAUACUAAUUUCACUCAAAUCCGACUCUAAAUCGAUGUUCAGAACUCAAUUAUUCACUUUAAAAAAGUUUAGACAAAAACUCCCAGUUUCUCUUCUAAAAUUAUCAAUCAAAUGCCAAAAUUGAAGAUAGAAUCAUAAAAUAUAAUCAAAUCCGAGUAGAUAGUACUUACUCCAAUCCAUGUGGUGAAAAUCCUUUUCAAAAUUGCCCAAAUCCGAACUCUCAAACUCAAAAUGUGAUAAAAUAAUUCAAAGGUCCGAUAUGGAGUACUUAUAUGCACUGUCAGUGGUACCCUACACAAUCCCCGUCAAUAACCUCAUGAUUGCGAUUCUAAAAUUGUCCAGCACAGCUUUUACUUUUCGUGAUCACGGUCAUUUUCCCGCGAUCGCGAUGAACAAAUUCCAUUAACCCUUUGCAAAUACUUCCCAGACAAUCUGUAGUGUUUUAG
rnacentral:lncRNA from 1 species